rnacentral:rRNA from 1 species
CACGUAGGGGGCGAGCGUUGUCCGGAUUUAUUGGGCGUAAAGAGCUCGUAGGCGGUUUGGCAAGUCGGGUGUGAAAACUCCGGGCUCAACUCGGAGACGCCACUCGAUACUGCCAUGACUCGAGUCCGGUAGGGGAGUGCGGAAUUCCUGGUGUAGCGGUGAAAUGCGCAGAUAUCAGGAGGAACACCGGUGGCGAAGGCGGCACUCUGGGCCGGUACUGACGCUGAGGAGCGAAAGCGUGGGGAGCGAACAGG